rnacentral:rRNA from 1 species
CCUGGCUCAGAACGAACGCGGGCGGCAUGGAUUAGGCAUGCAAGUCGAACGAGAAACUCAAGCUUGCUUGAGUAGAGAGUGGCGAAAGGGUGAGUAACGCGUGAGUAAUCUACCCUAAAGCUCGGAAUAACUGCGCGAAAGUGCAGCUAAUACCGGAUGUGGAAUCAAUUUCGCAUGUUAUUGAUUCUAAAGAUUUAUCACUUUAGGAUGAGCUCGCGUCCCAUUAGCUUGUUGGUAAGGUAACGGCUUACCAAGGCAAUGAUGGGUAGCUGGUCUGAGAGGAUGACCAGCCACACUGGGACUGAGACACUGCCCAGACUCCUACGGGAGGCUGCAGUCGAGAAUCUUCCGCAAUGGGCGAAAGCCUGACGGAGCAAUGCCGCGUGCAUGAUGAAGGCCUUCGGGUUGUAAAAUGCUGUCACCCGGGACGAAUAUAUGACGGUACCGGGAGAGGAAGCCACGGCUAACUACGUGCCAGCAGCCGCGGUAAUACGUAGGUGGCGAGCGUUGUUCGGAUUUAUUGGGCGUAAAGGGUCCGCAGGGGGUCUGUUAAGUCUGAUGUGAAAUCUCAUGGCUCAACCAUGAAACUGCAUUGGAUACUGGUAGACUUGAGUACCGGAGAGGAAAGCGGAAUUCCUGGUGUAGCGGUGGAAUGCGUAGAUAUCAGGAAGAACACCAAGAGCGAAGGCAGCUUUCUGGACGGUUACUGACCCUCAGGGACGAAAGCAUGGGGAGCAAACAGGCUUAGAUACCCUGGUAGUCCAUGCUGUAAACGUUGUGAACUUGAUGUGGGAGGAUUUAGUCCCUUCCGUGUCGUAGCUAACGCGAUAAGUUCACCGCCUGGGGACUACGGCCGCAAGGCUAAAACUCAAAGGAAUUGACGGGGGCCCGCACAAGCGGUGGAGCAUGUCGCUUAAUUCGAGGCAACGCGAAGAACCUUACCUGGGUUUGAAAUAUAUCUGAUCGCUGUAGAAAUACAGUUUCCCUUCGGGGCAGAUUUACAGGUGCUGCAUGGCUGUCGUCAGCUCGUGCCGUGAGGUGUUCGGUUAAGUCCGGCAACGAGCGCAACCCGUAUCACUAGUUACCAUCAGGUUAUGCUGGGGACUCUAGUGAGACUGCCCGUGUCAAACGGGAGGAAGGCGCGGAUGACGUCAAGUCAGUAUGGCCCUUAUGUCCAGGGCUGCACACGUGCUACAAUGACUGGUACAAUGGGUAGCAAUACCGCGAGGUGGAGCAAAUCCUCAAAGCCAGCCUUAGUUCGGAUUGGAGUCUGCAACUCGACUCCAUGAAGUUGGAAUCGCUAGUAAAGGCGCAUCAGCCACGGCGCCUUGAAUACGUUCCCGGGCCUUGUACACACCGCCCGUCACAUCAUGGAAGCUUGCUGCACCCGAAGUCGUUGACCCAACCAUUCACGAGGAGGGAGACGCCGAAGGUGUGGUAGGUGACUGGGAUGAAGUCGUAA